rnacentral:snoRNA from 1 species
GGAUGCUUGCUGCAAAAUGUUUCAGCCACUGACACCCCAUGAGUGAUACCGUCUAGCACUGAUG